rnacentral:rRNA from 1 species
ACUCAAAUGAAUAGACGGGGGCCCGCACAAGCGGAGGAACAUGUGGUUUAAUUCGAUGAUACGCGAGGAACCUUACCCGGGCUUGAAAGUUAGUGAUGGAUUUGGAAACAGAUCUUCCCCUUUGGGGCACGAAACUAGGUGCUGCAUGGUUGUCGUCAGCUCGUGCCGUGAGGUGUCGGGUUAAGUCCCAUAACGAGCGCAACCCCUACCGUUAGUUGCCAUCAGGUGAUGCUGGGCCCUCUAGCGGGACUGCCGGUGUAAGCCGAGAGGAGGGUGGGGAUGACGUCAAAUCAGCACGGCCCUUACGUCCGGGGCGACACACGUGUUACAAUGGUGAGUACAGAGGGUCGCUACCCCGCAAGGGGAUGCCAAUCUCUAAAGCUCAUCUCAGUUCGGAUCGGAGGCUGAAACUCGCCUCCGUGAAGUUGGAUUCGCUAGUAAUCGCACAUCAGCCAUGGUGCGGUGAAUACGUUCCCGGGCCUUGUACACACCGCCCGU